GAAUAGGUAGCUCAAUGGUAGAGUGGUAAACUGCAGAUUUAUUGGUGGGGGUUCGAGUCCCUCCCUAUUCA